GCCGAACGCUGGCGGCGUGCCUAAUACCUGCAAGUAGGCCGCAGUUGCGAAAGGGUGAGUAACGCGUAGGUAACUGCCUCAUAGCGGGGGAUAACGAUUGGAAACUAUCGCUAAUACCGCAUACUGUGAGAUGGACCUGCGUUGUAUUAGCGAGUUGGUGUGGUAAAGGCUCACCAAGGCGACGAUACAUAGCCUACCUGAGAGGGUGAUCGUCGACAGUGUGACUGAGAUACGGCCCAGAUGGCUACGGGAGGCAGCAGUAGGGAAGCGUCGGCAAUGGACUGAAGUCUGACCGAGCAACGCCGCGUGAGUGAAGAAGGUUUUCGGAUGGUAAUGCUCUGUUGUUAGAGAAGCGGGAACUAACCAGAAUGUGACUGCUAACUACGUGCUAGCAGCCGCGGUAAUUC
rnacentral:rRNA from 1 species